rnacentral:rRNA from 1 species
AUGAUAAAAGCGCUGAUGAAUUCAUUAGGGGUCCAGGUGGAUGACCCGGAGGAACUAAAGGAGAUGAUCACAAAUUUUUACAGGAAUCUGUACACCACCGAGGGGGUGACAGACAUGGAGGCGGUCCUCUGCCAUGUUCCAAGGAAGGUUACCCCGGAGAUGAAUGAUACUCUCUGUGCAGAUUAUUCGGAAGAGGAAGUCAAAUCCGCUCUUUUUCAGAUGUUUCCCACAAAGUCUCCGGGUCCGGAUGGUUUUCCAGCCCAUUUUUAUCAACGUCACUGGGAUGUGUGUGGGGCAGAAGUUACAAAGGCUAUUCUCCAGAUAGUAAGAGGUGAGGAAGAUGCAGAGUGUAUUAAUGACACCUUUUUGGUCCUUAUUCCAAAGGUAAUGAGCCCAACCUUGCUUACUCAGUUCAGACCUAUAAGUUUGUGCAACGUAUUGUAUAAAAUUGCUUCGAAGGUGAUUGCAAACAGGUUGAAGCAAAUUUUGCCAGACAUCAUCUCAGAGGAACAGUCUGCCUUUGUUCCUGGCAGACUCAUAACUGAUAAUAUAAUCACGACAUAUGAAUGUUUGCAUUUUAUGAAGGGAAGUAAGUCCAAGAAAAACAACCAUUGUGCACUCAAGCUGGAUAUGAUGAAAGCCUAUGAUAGGCUUGAAUGGGAUUAUCUCCAAGCAAUGAUGGAGAGACUCGGUUUUGCCCAGCAGUGGAUAAAUGUGGUAAUGAACAUGAUCAAGUCAGUAUCUUUUUCGGUUCUAUUUAACAGAGAAAAGUUGGAGGAGUUUAAACCUAGCAGAGGUAUUCGGUAG